AGAGAAUUGGUCGCUUUAGAUGUGUUUCCAUUUUAUGGCAUUUGUACCUAGAUUAACUUGCAUUAAAUUGUAAAAAUUGCAGCUGCAUUACAAUCUUUUGGCUACAUUAUUAAUUAAACAAAAAUGAUAUUUAGACACUUCAUAUCCUCUAAUACCUCUCAAGUCUCAAUCUAGUACAUACGAUCAAAUAUAUGUGUAGUGCAAUUAAUAAAUGACAAAGUGGUGAUCACGGAAAGAGAUGAUUUGUGCUUAUGACAUAAACAAUUAGUUAUCUUGUAUUUAUGUAUUCACUCAAAAUAAGGAUUAUAUAAGCAGAAAAAACAAAGCAAAAAGUUUGAUUCAAUAUAUUCAAAAUGGAAAAUGCUAUUUCAUUAACUGAAUCUACCAUUUUUUUAGUGAUAUAAUGUACAAAUGGAAACAAAUUAAUGUUUAUAAUGUAUUGAUUUCAAUUUACUACAAUAAUUCAACUAAAGCAAAACAAUUCUAACAUGUAAAACAGAGGGUCACAAUUUGAGUAUUCCCUUUCCAACUCCCUAAAAGUAAAUAAACUCCUACGUCUAUAGACAAGAAAGAACAUAUAAAAUUAGUUAAGUUUCUUUGGCGUACAUGCAGCAUCAGUUCAGUGACCACGUCCUUUGUGGCUUGGUCCAGAAUAAGCCUGGUUGAUUAUUAAACUUAUGACGGAAGGAGCAGAUUGAUCUUUGAGAGGUCUUGUCCCCUCAACUUGUAUGGAGUGCGAGAGCAAGAGAAAGGAAAAUAUCAUCAAAAAAAGGGCAUUGAUAAUAUUAAGAGUAAUACCCUGCAGCUUCAUUUUGUAUAUAUCUAACUUCCAAGAUGUACCAAACCGUACACAAUAUAUAUUAGUGGGUUAAUGGUGUCGUUUGGAGCAUGAAUGAUGAGGAAUGUUAUAUAUAUAUAUAUAUGUAUAUAUAGCAAUGUGUAUGGAGAAUGACUGAAUUGAAGAUUAAUUGGAAAAAGGCUUGUUUUGUUCUUUAUUGACUUAACUUGUAGCUGGUGGCGGGGUUGGAAGGUUAUUAUUAUUAUUAUUCUUUCACUACUUUGAAUUUUUAAGUCUGAACAACCCAAAAAGCAACUAAAUUUGAGUUUUGAAAUCCAACACGGCAAAAUGUUUGAAAGAAAAUGCAUUCUUAUACGAAAGAGUACGAGUUUAUGACUUGUACACAAAUAAAAUAUUAGGAAUAAGUCAAUUACUCGGACAGAAUAUUACUGUGUGCAUUGUAGUUGGUGGAUGUUACCUUUCAAUUUGACUUAUUUUGUUAUUACUGUCUGUGUUUCCUCUGCAAUUGCAUUGAGUUAAUUUUACAAAAUUCAUUGUUUUCAUUAAAACCGAAUACUUAUAAUUGUUUUUUUUGUUUUAAUAUUUAUUUGAAGACUGAAUCAUAUAUUUAAGAAAAUAGUUCAAAUGUAUUUUUUAGCAAUUGUUUUUAUUUUGUUAAAAGAAAAUAAAAGAUAUAUAUUGGGUCAUGAUGACGGGUAAUAUUAGUAUUGGGAAGAAUGGGUCGUAGGCAGAGGAGAGGACACAACCUAAUACUACGGAGUACUUCUUUUCCCAUUAGAUUAGACAAGAGGACUCUCAAACUCUAUUAGCAGACUACCAAUUAAGAUACUCCACCUCCUACCAAAUUAAUGAUGUUAUCAGGAUAUUCACAUUUUCGUAUGGGUCGCUUAUGCUACUACACUAAGUGCUAUGCAAAUAUCAUAAUCGUGUGGUAUAAUUUUACACUACCAAAAAUGAAUGAAUAUGCAGAUAAUAACAUUUUCAUUUUUUUUUUUUUAAACCAAGAUAAUAACAUUUUGAUAUAUUGACGCAAAAGUGACGUGAAUAUAAUUAAGGUUGAAAUCCUAAUGAUAAAUAUGUAAAUAUCUAGCAUUAUUAUGCAUGUACACCAAAACAACAUGGAAACAAGCAAAAAAAGAUGUUUCCUGGUUCCAUUACCCUAAACAAUUUUGACUACGUUACGGAAGUCUACCGUAAUUCUUAUUCCAAAGUUAACCAGCUCUCAAUGGUCUCAAACAAUUCUUAAUCAGCUAAAGACCAAGCCAAAUUGUCAUCCACAACCAAUAAAUUGGCUAUAAGACCAAGCUAAAUUUAAUAAGCUGCUAUUUGGAGAAUAAAACUAUUGUAUAAAAUCUCUUCACUAUACUCUGCUUCCAACCUGAUGCAACGAAAUUAGUAGUAGUGGAAAAAAGUAACUCCUGCGAGGAGUCUAAGAUGAUCCGGUGUUGAUGCCUAGUAGUUGCCAGCAAGUGAGCUCUAUUUGACAUGCCUCGAACCUUUUACCAAAGCAUUUUCAUCUCCAUCCCUGGUAGCUGCAUAAACCCAAACCUGUGCUGAUUUUUUGGUCAAAGUCAAGGAGGGUUUAGAUUUAGGUCUUGUUGGCCGUUGUCAAGCCUAAUACCUACCAAACCAAAUCUGCCACUCAUAUAGUGCUGAGAAAUUACCUAUUUUGUUUGCAAGCAGGACUGAAUUAUACAAGCAGCUUAUUAUGCUUCUCCAAGACUAAAUCGACCCUCUUCCCAGCUGUAAAAGUGCCGCCCGGUGCACUAAAGCUCUUGCAUACCCAGGGUCCAGGAAGGGGUCCCACCAUUUUGGUGUAUUGAAUGCAGCCUUACCCUGUUUUUACACAAGAGGUUGUUGCCAGGACUUGAACUUGUGACCUUUUAGUCACAUGACAACAACUUUACCGCUGCGCCAAGGCUCCCCCUUGCCCUCUUCCCAGCUGUAACUGCAAUAAUGAUGCCUGAUUCAAUAACUAAGCAAGUGCUGUCGCAUCAAUCUCAAUCCUGUUAUAUAAGAAAAUGGGGGCAAUACAGAGAGAGGUUCAGAUUCUAUCAUUUAUCCGUAAAUAGUAUAAUUUGGCAGAGGCCAUCACAUUAAAAAGAACUGGUAUGAGAAAAUUAAAAUGAUAAAGGUUAUAAAUUGCUCAAGGUUACAGAUGACAAAUGGUAUUCAUGAUUAUAGAAUUAGUAUAGUCUAAUAUCAUAAUAUCAAUUGCAGUAGCUCAAGGAAAGUAUAAAACAUCAAACCUGAAGCAAUAUAAACUCUUGAACAUAGUCGAUUACUCCAUGGCAUACACACACACACACACACACACACACACACACAUAUAUAUAUAUAUAUAUAUAUAGGGGAUGUAUCAAAUGAGAGGAAGUGUUAUAAUGAGAGAUGAGAGGAGUCAUUUAUAUCCGUUGGAUUCAAUUUAAUGGUUAAGAUUAAAAGCUCUUAUCUAGGGGGAGCACGUGCUACUUUUCCAGUAAAAGAUACGGUCACGUGCCUUCGAUCUCUUCUUUCUUCUGCACAACAUACUCUUCCUUUUCACUAACGAGGAGACUGUUCUGUUCCUUUCGUUAAUGCAACAACAAUCGUCUACUCCCAAAAGACACACCUUCAAUUAAAAAAUCUUCCCUGGUACUCUUCAAAUUGUAAUUUAAUUUAAGAAUUCUAAAUCAAUUUCUGGAUUCAACAAAAACAGACAUCGAAAACCAUUCUAAAUCACUUUCUGAUUGUUGUAAUUUUCAAUAAUCAACUCUGAAUUUUCUAUUAAAAAAGAAUCACGCUUUUAAUCAAAUAAUGAAACAGGGAUAUUUGAGUAUUUAGAGUUUUUUCUAUUAACCCAAAUUCUCUUCUAUAAUUUCAUCCAAAAGUCAUGAUUUUUUAAUUAAAAACAAAUAAUAGAAUUGAUGCAAUAAAAUGGUCUUGUUAUGGCUGGAAUCAGAGAAGUGAUAUUUGGAAAAAACAUACAAUCUGCAUCAAUGUGUAUAGGCGAGCGAGAGGGAGAAAUGAAAGAUAUAAGAAUUGAAAAGACAAUGAAAUGAGAGAGAUAGCAGAAGCGCAUAUGCAUCUAGCAACUAAAUUCAUCCCAACUGUUUGAUUAGAUCUAAGGUGAUUCUUAAUUUAAUUUUUUAAUAUUUUUGAAGGAAAAAACGUAGAAGCAGAAGGAGAUGAGGGUAGGCGAGAGUGGAGAAGAUGAAAGGUAGAGGUUGUAGUGCAUGACCCUUUUUAAAGAGCAAUUAAAUCUAAAGCGUUGAUUUUGAUCCAAUGGUCCAGAUUAAUUCCUUUCAUCCUCUCAUUCUAACUACUUCUCUCAUUUGAUAUAUACUUGCACAUCAAUUUUAAGAUACUUCCAAAGUAUGGAAACAUGAAAAACUUAUUGAACAUGUUGCUAUUCUUUUCAUAUUACUUAGUACACACUUUAGAUGUUCUGUCCUGAGCAUGAGGAGGGUGUUGAGAGUCCUACAUUGAUAAGAGAUAUGGCAUAGGUACAGCUUAUAAAACUAUAAGGCAGUAAAGCUUAUAAAGUGAGGAUUGUCCAAACAUAUAGGACAUGUUUGUUACAUUCGUUUUUAAAGCUAUUUAAAAAACAAAUCACUUUUAUGAGUUUCAUUGGUUUGUUACUUAAAAAAAAUGAGAAUCUGAAGAUAAAACAAAAAAAUGGAAAGCCUGUUUUGACUAGUUUAUCUUGAAAAUUAUUUUUGAAAGAUUAAUUUAAAAAAAAAAAAAUCAUUGUAGAGAACAAACGCAAACAAAUAACUAUUAUUUUUCUUAAGAAUCUCUAUAUUGUUGAAUACCGAAAUCACUUUUUUUAUAACUGGUAACAAAUUGACCCAUAAGUUUUGUUGGGUCGAGAUUGACCUUGAACCUAAAUUCUAAGAGAACUACUGAGGAGGCAAAUGAUAGGCAAAAACUUUGUUUUCGCCUCAUGCCUGCAGCUAUUACAAGCCUUGACACCGAUUUUAAGACAUCUGAAAAAACUAAAUUGCUACUGGUGCACAAACUAAUACCACUAGGCUGGCAAGCCAAAUAAGCACAAACAUACUUAAAAAUUUUCAAAGCAAACUAACCUGCUGUAUCUUAUCUUCAUCUUCUCUCUCUCUCUAAUUUUGAAUUCAUCUGGUGGUGGUGCAAUGUACUUACACCUAUAAAUAGAAACAGAGUCAUGUAAAAUCAAUGUUAGUGAUAUAGUCAUUGAGAAAUAAUUGAUGAACUAUGAAUUAUAGAUAGAGACCUAAGUUAUGAUCAAUAACCAAGAUAGGAAACUUUAGACAAGACAAUGAAAAAGAUUAAAUGAAUAAAAAAGGAGUUAUACGAUUCACAUCCAUUAAACAAGCACAAACACAGCAGAAAAUUAUUAGCAUUCACAUUAAAGUAAAACAUACUCUGCAGAACAUCAUGGUUGAUAGAACUGUUGGCUUGUGACAUGACCGCAUAGACUCACAUAGCAAUCAUAGAAUUUUGCUUAAUUUCCCAUAGUAGAAGAAUUUGACUAUCUGAGUGUUACUAUGGGGUUAUAAACAAACUUCCUCCAUAAUUGUCAUCAACAGCUUCCUACAAAAUUUAAAUCAGAAUUAAUUCAAUAUGUAUUGAUGGAGAGAGAAGAGAAAGCAUGUGCUAAUAAAAGUGUUUCAAGUUUCCACUACAUCACAAUACAAAAAAAAAAAUUUGAUCACAACCUCUACAAUUUUUCAAUCAACAGUUGUUUGUAACUAUGCACAUUUCCCUGUUAAGUGCUCCCCUUGUUUAAGAGGGGCCAAAUUAGAAAUCAACGUAUUAAGGUCAUCAGAAAAUUCAUUAAGGAACAUACAAAAUAUUUGUUGACAAAUAUCCUUGGAGUUGAUAAAAGUUUUUUUCUUGACUGUUAUAUGUUUUAUUAUUUUGUUAAGGAGCCCUUAUCCGCCUCUGUUUUGUAAAUUUUUGUGUUCGCACUGAUCAAUUGCUCUUUGAUUAAAAUAGAAACAUUUAUUUUAGUUCCAAAAGAGUAAGCCCUGCAUUUAGAAAGACUUCAACGAAGACUACCAAAUACAAUUUCCAUUAAAAUGUACAUUUUCCUAAAUACAAACCAGGCCAGCACUAGAUUUCCAUCCUAUUAAAAUAUUUCAAGAGCCACACCAUACACCCCUGCUCUCUGCAAAUUUCCCCCCUAUUUUCAUGAUGUCUUGUUUGGUUGAUAAGAUAUACCUGAAGGUAUGGAAAUACACCAUUAUACACUUGUAGGAAAAGUUGUGAUUUUGCUGCAAACCUGAAAACAAAUGAGUCACUCCAAAGUUUGUCACAAGAUAAUAAUCCAAAAAAUAAUUAAUUUAACUUCACAACAACCAUUUUGAAAUAUUCUUUAACAUGUGACUGUCAUCAACCGAAUUUGAAAUACUCUCUCUGGUCCAUAUAUAAGAAAAAGUUUGGUGUUUUCUUUGGUCCUAAUUAUAAGUGUCACAAAUCUUGAAAUGUACUAAUUGCUAAAACUGCUUGAUGCCAUUUCAAUAUUCACUACAAACGCAUCUACUCCCCAUAAAAGUGGGUGUGUUAAUGCAAGGGUUAUAGUAUUUGAAAUAAAGGUUCAACAUUGGAAUGUUAAAUGAACUUCCUUGAUCAUGAUGAUUCUUUUCUUCUUAUAUAUGGAACCAGAGUUAGUAUAACAAAAUUCUCAGGAAGUUACAAAAACAAAAAGCUAUCUUCACUGUAUAUAAGCCUAAAGAUGGACCUACAGACACAGAAGUCAAUGUAUCAUUAAUAAAAGUUUUUUAAUUUAUAGACACACACACACACUGUUGCAAAGUGCCUCUAAAAUGAAGAUUGAGAAAGUGAAGAAUCGUGACACGAUUUUCUAGGUAGUGAGCAUGGUUUGCAGGGCGUCCAAUCGUGACACGAUUUUGGGAAAACGUGACACGAUUUUGACAGAUCUGAAACACGUUUUAAGUACUCCAUGACCCAUUUUUUGGGUAAGCUUGAUGAAUCUCAUGGAAACCAAAGGAGGGAACUUUUAGGGUUUUAGAUACUAAAGGUUGAGGGUCUUUGGGUGAGGUUCAAAGCUUCAAGAUGUGAAUCUUGGGAGAACCAAAAGAGGGGGCUCUUGGGAAAAGGGUUGGUGCCUUUUGGAGAAGAUUCAUGGGGUUGGGAAACACAUGAGUGGAGAGUCUUUUGUGAGCAACUUGGGUGAGUCUUGUGAAACCAAAAGAGAAGAUCCUUAGUGAAAUCAAAGGCUAAGGGUUCUCUUUUGGGGGUUAGAUUCUAGAGUUGGGAAACAAUUGUAAACACCUUGGGAGAGUGAAAAUCAUGAGUGUCUUGUUCAUUGGUGAGAUUGGGAAAAUGGGUAGAAAUUAGGGUUGUUCUUUGUGAGCUUGUUAAAGCUAAUUUCUUGUAACCCAUUUGUAUCUCUUUGUAAGAACUCAUUGAUAGUGGAUUGGAGAGAUCAAUCUCUCCUCCAUAGUAGGUCAAGUUUGGACCGAACUGGGUGAACAUUUCUUGGUGUUGUUAUCUUUCCUUUACUCUCUCUUUAUCUUGUUUAUUCCUUGCUUUUGAUUGUGGUUUUGCUAUGCACUUAGUUAAUAGACUAGGUCUAUAUUGUUGUUAUUGCUUGUGGUUUUUUACAUUUGGUUAUUGAUUGCUAUUGAUACUUGCUCUACACAUCUUUGUUAUUCAUUGGUGUGAUUUUUACCGGAAUUCACAACACACACAGAUACAUACAUUUAUACACAUAAAAUUUGAGGUGGGAGAUACUAAGGAAAAAAGCACAUAAAAACAUAUGAAAACAAUGAGCCCUUCAGCAGAGUACAAUCCUAACUUGUAACAUUAAAAUACCUUUUCAGAAGCCGAAAACAAAUAUAAAUCUCUUCAAUAUCUUUUCCAAUCUUCAUUUUGAUAUACUGCUUCAGUAGCUCACACAUGAUGUUGACAGAGUCAUCAGAAAUCUGAUGGACUAGAUUUAGCAGGUGGAAUUCAGAUAUUAUUUGGUGCAAAACUGAUGACAGUGUGCUAGUCAACCCUGACUUAUAAUAAACUUCGGCAAGUUUAUUUAAAAUUAAGCAACUGCUCAUUUUAAACUCCUCCACCCAUUUCGGAGGAUUCCCAGCCCAAAGACAUUCAUUCAGAACAUUUGAUCCAAGAUUCUCGGAAUUCUUGACACCUAAUGACACCUGAUGGUUUUCACUAGGAGGAACCAGAGUAACAUUGGAGCUAAUAUCCUGUCUCCUGUGUGCAGGAAGCUGCAGAACAAUGACUGCUUUCAAAUCCUCAGGCAAUUCUCGUAACACAGAACCGUCAACUUGACUUAAAGAAGAAGGCAAUAAAUCAUCUUUUUCGAAACUUGAUUUGGGAUUAACGUUACAAGACGGCCCAGACCCUAAAUCAGGUACAACUUCACCUCCUUCCGCCUCAUGUUGCAUUACCUGGCAGUAAACCAUGAAUUAUGAUAUAUGUUGCUAAACAAAAUAUUCUCGGGGAAGUGGCACAAUAAAUAAUUACAAAUUAAAGCAAACAGGACUAAAAUUUAUUCCAUUUUAAUGAAUUAAGUCUGUGACUGUGUUACAAGGUGGAUAAAUUGAUUUGGGGGAAGGGACAUAGGAGUUGGAGUGAUAAGGAGAUCAUGUGUUCAACUCUCCCCACUAACUACUAGGUUUUCUGUUAAUUUUUUUUUUCUUCCUAGAGUCACCAAAAAGAUGAAAUCAAAUCAACUUUAUAAUUUGAUAUCUUGAUCAUCUCCACAUGAAAAUUUGAAAUUCUGUAUAUUUAAGUAAAGAUGGAGUAAAAAGAGAGAACUGUUAUAUUGACUAAUAUUCUCCAUCAUCCAAUGAUAUGAUCCAAGAUUUAAGCAUUAAAACUUAUGCAUACCACAAGCACUAAACUCCCAAUCCAAAUCAAUGAAGGGAAAAAGUCCAGUGUAGUACCCGUAGUUUAUUUAAAAAAAAAAAUUAAAAAAUUACCUCAAUCUCAGAUAAUGGCUUUUUUUGAGGAAUCGGAUCCACAUCCAAAAGCUCCUUUUCCUUGUUUGUUGCUGCAGAAUAAACAAUUUGAAAGCAUGUACGCAGAUUUGAGCUGUGCAUUAGUCCAAACUAGCUAGGAAAAUGAAAUAGAGAAAUGCUUACCUUCUUUUUCCAAAAGUGAGCUUUGUAAAGAGCUAGAACUCUCACUUAUGCCUUUUCCUUUAGUAAUAUAAUCAACUAACUUGCCUCCAUAAAUUUCAUUUAGUUCUGAAAAUACUUCUGGGGGAAGAUUCCUUAUAACUUCCACAUCAAGGUGACACAAAGGAGGUGGUGUUGAAAUUCGGUCAGCACUAGCUUGGUUAUCUUGUAUGUUGUUGUCCUUUUCAACUGAAGACCCUCGCAAAUCUCUACAUCCAUGAAUGGAAGUGCCGUCCAUAUUCUGCUUGUCAUGACCUGAAGAAAGAGACACCAUCAGAUGUCAUUUUUAUUAAUUUAAUCAUUAACAAAAUCCCAAAUGAGAACACAGUUAUUCAUAUAUGAUCUACACCAAUUAUCUUCUAAAUAAUAUCAUAGCAUAAAAGCCCUGUUCAACAACAAUUACCAUUACCCAUGGGAUGUUUCUGUUUAUCCAUACUUGCAGAUCUUGAAGUGACCCAUGAUUUCAAAUUAUAUUUUUCUGCACCUUCAUGAAAUAAAUAUUAUUAGACAAUCACAAAGAAAGAAAGUGUUGAAAAACAAUAAAACCAUAGCUCAAAACCAAGGAAAGCAACAAAUCUGUUUGGACAGAGAGAAGGAAAGAUGAGGAACAUCAAAAUAGCAAAUCUCAGCUUAAAAACAUAUGUUCUCCUUCAGUUCAGUAAGUCGCCUAUAAAUUUAGUAGCAUGCACAACAAAACAGUAUCUUAUUACAGCACAGCUGGGUUAAACUUCAUUGAAAAUAGUACAGGUACCUUGCUUAGAUGCCUUGCUACUUUCAAGUCUGGAAACUUGCAGGCCAAUACCUCGAAUCUCCUUGACAUCUACGUGAAAUAGCCAAAAGGAGAAGAUGAUGGUUAGAUUUCCAAUUAACUGGAGAUAUAUGGAUUCCCUGCAAAAAGUACUGGGCUAAAACACUAUAUAUCUAUGUUUUAGAAAUCAAACCAAUCACUGAAUCCUCUGUGAAACGUUAGUCUAUUAUCAUCAACAACAAGUGCUGAGCUUAAGUGCUUGAUAUGCAAGCAUUUAAUUAGAAUAGAAUAAGAUGAACACCAUCCAAUCCUGAAAGGAUGAAACAACUUGCAUCAAGUGUUUAAUGAAACUUUAAGAAUAAACCCAAGGCCAAACCAAACCAUGUUAAUCAUAAAUGCAAAAAAAAAAUGUACAACUUUCUUAACCAUCGUCCUUAUAUAGUAUGGUCAUAUUAAAUAUGGCACUUUUGCUUUAGUUUUGGCCUUUCUUAUUACCAAAAUUUACCAAAAGCCUUUUUAAGUGUUACCCCCAUCAAAUGAAAUAGUAGUUCCUUUAUUUUUUUUGCUAAAGAAAUAAAAUGCAGCAAAGGAUUCAAGAGUCUAAGGAUAUACCAAGACUGGUCAGUUAUAGUCAUUAAAAUGGUGGAAAUUAAAAGUUAAGAUACCUAUAUAAAAAUUUCCAAAAAGCUGCUUUGCUAUCCUAUGGAGUACUUCCAAAUUAUCAGUAGCAACGGGAAUCUACAUCGAGUAUAUCAAACAGAAAAUUAGUACUUGAAACAAUUAGAAAAACUUUUGGAAGACUGGAUAGCAGUUUAAUGCAUAAAUGAAAAAUGCUGGAUGUUUCAAUAUUUACCGUUACUGAGUGACUCAAAUUUUCACAAUCUCCACAGCCCAUAAAUUUUGCAGGUUCAUCAGCAUCUUUUCUUCUCUUUUUGAUCUAAAACAUAUAUCCAAAAAAAAUUAAAAAAUUUAUAUCUUUUGACUUAGAAGUUAUAAGAAACAUUUACAAUAAUAAUAUAAAUGACAGUUUAGAAAAUAAAACAGGACAUGAAAAGCACCUCAUGAGCCAAAACCGAAAGUUGAUAUCUGAAUAAUCUUAAAAUAAAAAUCUAUCAAGCUAAACGUAAUCAAUACCUUGAGAGAGAAAGUGCGCCCUUGCAUGCCACAACCUUGCAAUCUUAAUGAGACCUCCUUGCAAAGGUUAGUUAGGAAGUUCUCACACUGGAAAAACUUUUUAGUCAAUAUUUUGAUUGUUUUGUUUUGCAAUACUCUAAGGCAAAAAUAAAAAUAAGUUAUGUGUAGAAGAGUACUGACAUCUUUCAUAUCGUUGAACCUCACACCCCAAUUUACAUCAGCACCAAUAGACUUGCAUUCCUGCAUAUGUGUACAUAACACCAUCUUUAUGAAAUGGCUUCAAACAUAAGCUUGUCAAGAAAGAACAAUUAACCUUCAAAGGAAGAAACGAGGAUAAAACACCACAUUUGAGGUGAAAGAUUGAGAGUAAAAUACUAGCCAGUGGCAUCAUGUUUAAAUCAUGUUGUGGAGCAUAAAUAUACCAAUUUUGAUUUCAGACUGAGAAUAUAAUUAUUUAUCAUAUUAACCUGACAAUUUAUAUCCUUCAAUCCUAGAUCACUUUAAAAAUUGUUAGUCAAUGACUAAACAAGGACGACAGUAGAUCAAUGCAAAGGGGCAACUUACACAACCUAUUGGCACAAUGUACAGUGGAGGAAAAUAGGUGGAUUAAUGUGUGUGUGUGUGUCCAAAAUAUUGUCAAUAUUCCAAGUCCAAAUAACGAGAAAUCGAGUUUGGAUUUUAAAGAUGAAACAAAAAUUCAAAAUGAUGGCCUUUUUCCCUACCUGAAAUUCCCCAACCAACCGGGUAUCAAUUCCUCUGCUAUAAUUCCACAGCAUUUCUCCUGUUUUCAUUCCAUAGUCCUUCUGCAGUGAGACCUGCAGAUGCAAAGAUGUCAGAUACUGACACAGUAGAAUUAUCCAAACAUUUUUCAACUAAUACAAUAACAACCAAGUCUUAUCCCACUAGGUGGGGUCGGCUACAUGGAUCUAAUGACGCCAUAAUGCUCUUUCAUUUCAUGUACCAUACUUCUAUCCAGCUCAUUAAUCUCUAGAUAUUUCUAUUCAACUAAUGCCCAAAAGAAAAUGAACUAGAAUUUGUGCUAAUUGAAAGAAAGAAAAAAAAAAUUGUUCUUGAAGGUUUUUGAAAUGAGCAGUUUCACUUAAAAACGAGGGCCGAAUCCUUUUAAAGCUUCUCCCCAAACGAGAAGCAUUAUAUUUUCUACCCUUGUGUUGUGCGGCUUCACCCUACCUCAUUUGUGUUUCCACUUUAUCCCUUUCCCCUUAUUUGCUUCAUUUUCUCUCAAUCUCGGGAAUCCUUUUUCGGGCUGUGGAGAAAUUUGUAUAGCCUCCCCUAUUUUCUUUCUCUUAUGAGCUAAAUUUGUGGCGAUUCCAUGGAGUUCGGGGUCGUGCUCACUCUAAGGAGAAGAGAAUGGUACACAGUACACACUGCAUGAUUUAGAGAGAAGAUGAAGAAUUUGUUCUUUGUGUCGAAUAAACUGUUUCUAAUUUCUUACACAACCUAUUCUCAUUUUGAGUAUAUAUUUUGGUGGUCAUUUGGAACUUAAUUCAUUUUGAUGCUAUAAGGAGGCUUAUGUCAACUUUAUUUUGUAUUGUAUUGGAUGUACUAAUACUAGAUUUGAAAAGUCACAAAAUGACCUUCAAAAGGGAGUCAAGGAACAGAAACUGAACUUCCAAAGUAUCAGAAAAAGAAAGAAAAAAAAUCAUUAAAAAGAAUAAGUCAAUGAAUAGUAAAACCUUUGAAAUCAUCAUCAACUGUCCGCACGUUUGAACAUUCUGCUUCUUCAAUUUUUCCUGUAAAGCAUGCCCUACUCCAGGAAGUGCAUUAAUUGGGAGUUGACUUAAAUGAUCUUCAACCUGGAAAAGUAAAACUAUAUAAGAGGGAAGGCGAAAAUAUUGACAUGUUCCACACAUCAACUAUUUUAUCAAAUUACAUAAUUUGUAGGGACUUAUUGUAGACCUACAUGUCCAAAUUUAGUAGAAAAGCUACAAAUCACAAGCACAAUAUUUUCGUUAACUAUCUGAAGAAUUUGAUAUGUAAGAUGAUCUAUAAAUAUAUUAUUGUUAUGUGAAAACAUGCAGCAGAAACCACCAUAAACAAUAAGUCUUGUGCAAUGUCCACACUCCAAAGUACAUGUCAAACAUGGAAUUAGAACUUGAGGAAAAUUUGAAGCAUCAUGGUCUGGAGUAAAAGAAUAUUUUUAACUGAACAUAACUACAUCUUCCAUGUCUAGCAUAGAACUAUCUCAAAGAAUUUCUAAUAAAAAAAUCGUAUCAUACAGUAUAAUCCACAAUGUAAAUACAAAAUUAAAAUAGCAACAAUUAGCAUUAACAACAACUCAAUCUUAUCCCACUAAAUAGGGUCAGCUACAUGGAUCAAAAGACCCUAUAAUGUUUUGUCAUAUAUCAUAUCUCUAUCAUUAAUUUCUAGGUGUUUCUUAACAGUUUCUAUUAUAGUUUAUUUAGGUCUUCCUCAGCCUCUAGCAGUUUGACUACCCUCCAUAUGAUCUACUCUCCUAGUAUAUAAUCUAAAGGUCUUCUCUCCAUGUACACAGACAACCUAAGCCAAGUUUCCACCACCUUUUCAACGAUAGGUGCUACCCCAACUCUCUCUCCAAUGUUGUCAUUCGUAAUCUUAUCUCGUCUUGUCUUAACACGCAUCCAACGCAACAUUCUCAUCUUUGCUACGCUUAUUAAAUUCUUGUGUUUGUUUUUUACCGCUCUGUCCCAUAUAGCAAUCAACAAAUAUCUGAAGAUAGUCAAAAGCUUUCAGCAUAUAGUUCAUGGAACAGACACUGUCUGGCCACAUAAAAUAAAGGAAUGUACAAAGAAAAGAAACAGGGCCGUAAUAUCAGUUACGUGACACCUCCAUCACACCAAAAAAUACAAAUUAAUACUGUCAGCAUAUAGAGGUGUUCCAUAAUUUUCCAGUCAGUUAGCGUGGCUGGCAUAACUGACAAUUAGUUAGUAACAGACUAGUUAGUUGCAGUCAUUAGUUAUAGUUUUGCUAUUGCAAGCUUAAGAAACUAUAAAUACAGUUGUAUUUAGCAGAUGAAUCAAUCAAUAACAGGUUUAAUCUCAUAUUCUCUUACCUAAACAAAACUCUCUCUCUUACACAUUUUCUCUCUCCUGUAGAUUCAGUAAUGAUUAAUAGAAAACUCCAAAACAUACCCUUUCUGGAGUUAUAUGAUAUUGACCGUUUGGCUUAGCAGUUCUAGUAGCAAUACGAGACAUAAGCAUGUUUCCAGCUAUGCCAGCACUGGCUGUACAUCCAGUGGUCUCAUAGAUCUCUUUCCUGAUUGAUGACGCUAAAAGUUCAGGAUCUUCAACCUUUGAAUGGGUGACAUCUAAAAAUGCUUCAUCACAGCUUACAGCCUGUAUUAAGUAGCGGUUAUAGCACUAAAGAUACACCAACUCAGAAUUUAUGAACUUAAAAAAUAUUAAACCGUAGAAAACCUGCACUUUGUUGCAAUGUCGAUGCAAUGUACUAUAAAAUUGAUCAGCUACCUGCAAAUUGUCCAACAUGUCUUGGUAAAAAUAAAAAAUAAGGGGUAAAAAAAGUUACAGAAAGAUAUGAAAUUGUUUUCUGUAACUUUAUUAAUUAAAUACACCCUUCUGUAACUUACUUCUUCGUACGCUUCAAAGUUGUAUGGAAAGAUAACAAGGUGGGGACAAAGAGCCUUGGCAUCUCGAACAAACAUACCAGCCUUAAUACCUAACAACGACAGAAGUCAUAAGUUACAAAGCAAAAAGAUAGACAAAUAAGGUAGCAUAUUGAGUCAUAUUGUCAUUUUAUAAUUUGCAUAUAACCAACCAUAACUACGUGCUGGGUAGUUUGCAGAGGAAAUCUCAGCAGUUCCCUUAGAAUUAUUCGAGUGGCAGACAGCUACAGGCUUAUCCAACAAUUCAGGGUGGCUCCUGAUAACCACCGAGACAAAAAAGCAAUCCUGGGGCAGCACAUGACACAACAAUAUAAACAUAACAUUUGUUUUUAAAAGUAAAAUCUGAUAAGCAUUGAACAAAGAAAAUUAGUUGACAACAAUUAGUUAUUUCCAACAUGUAUGUGAAGCCUACCAUGUCAACAUGGAUAACGACUGAGUUCCCAUAAACACUAGAGGCAUUGAUAUUAGAAAUUUCAUUGUCAAACCCAGUAGAAAAGGUUGGAAAACGCUUCCGAUACCGAUUUCUCCAAGUUCCAAUGAAGUGUAGCCGUGAGUUCUGCAUAUUGCAUAUACCAAAGUUCAACUAGGAUAUCACAAAAUUAUGGCAUCAUCAGUGGAGAUUAAGAGAUUGGUAACGUUAACAUUUUGCAUAAAUUUUAUGAUACAGUCGGAUAGGAAAAUCAUGCCAAAGUAAAACGAGGAGCAAGUCAAUAUCAUAACAGUAUAUCAUUUGAUAAGUUUGCAAUUUGCAUCCUUAAAGAAGGUUGAUAUUCUCCAUCUCCCUCCCUAGACAAAGUCAGUUUUUUUUAUUCUAUUUUUAAUCUUUAUUUUGAUUUUACUGUUAUGGGAUGGCAAACACAACCAAAUCCACCAAGGGUGCUUAAACUAGUUAUGACUCCCCCCAUCCUAUCUUUGCAGAAUACUAUAAGAGGAUUAAGAUGAUGAAUACAGUAGCCACCAUAAUAAGAGAAAAUGAAGGCAACCAACAAGAAUGUCACCAUUUUGACAAGUAAUGUGAAAAUCCAAACUUAUAUCAACUUCAGUACCUUGAAAUAAUUUUCCACAAAAUUAGGAUCGGAAAGAGUUGAAUGACACUGCUUAGAAGGCUUGGUGGAGGCAGAAGUUGGAAUUUCAUUUACGGAGCGGAGGCUACUAACUGAUGCAGAAGGUUCUUGACAACUAGAUUCGAGUUCACCUUGGAUGUUUUCCUCGUCUUUAGCAGCAUCAUUGCUUCCUCCCACUGGAUCUUCUUCAUCACACUUAAUUCCAGCACUAGCCAGCAGCUCUUCCAUCAUAAUUGCAUCAGUAUUCUCCGAGACAUUGUCAUCAGCUUCGGUAAUGAUUUGCCUGCUAGAUUCAACCACAUCCCCGACUUCGGAUGAAUGUCUACCCUCUGAUUUUCCAGCACUAAUAAAUGAAUCUUCAAUGUCUGACUCUACUUGACAAAGGGAAUCCUCAGAAUUUUUGGUAGUUGUGAAUGUGAAGAAUUUGGAUAGUUUUGGUUGUUGGUUAUUAGAAAGCUGGUGAAGUUGAUAAGGCGCCCAAGUCAAUAGUCGAUUAGAAGCAACAGAAUCUAAAAUCCAAGUUGGUUUUACAAUAGGAAGCCCUGCACUGAAAGCUCUGAGAUUCUUAAGUUUAGUGUGAGGAAGAUUGGUGCAGAUGAUAUGUGUUACACGAUGCCUUGAGAAAUAAUUCUCAAAUCUUCCACCAUACUUUAACAUGUAUCCACGCAGUUCCUGACUGGAUGGAACGGUGAAACCAUCGACAAAAAUUGAAACUCCGGCGAAUAUAGGGUUCCCACAAGAAGUGGAAGCUUCUUCGGUGUUAAACUGAUUGUGUAGUUUUCGAUUCUUCUCAGUCAUGUAACUGUAAUAGUGACAUUUUUCAAUUAAAUACUGAGAAAUUGAGAAGGAAUAAUAAGAAAAAUAAUAAUAAUAAACCUGGCAACAUCGGAGAAAGGGGAUUUUGUGGAAUUAGAAGAGUUCUUCCCCCAGGCGACGCCUAAGGUUUUCUGGUUGGUGGUGGUAGUUGUUUUCUGCUGCUUCUUCUUCCUCCUAUUAGCAUCAGAAGAUGAUGAUGCUCUUUUACAAGAAUUCAAACUCAUCUUAAUCUAAUCAACGAUUGAGGAAGGGAGUGAAUUGUGUGUAUCUACCACUUUUCGCACCAAAAGAUGAAUCAGAUCGCUGCGUUUUCUUUCAAAUCUUUGAAGCGGUACUCAUAUGUUUUGAUUCUUUGGCAGUUUUGGGUGUCACCUCACUUAGGGUGUCACAUCAGCGUUGACCGAGUCAACAAUGGACUUGGGGUCCAAAACUGCCAAAGAAUCAAAACAUAGGGGGCUGUUUUGUAUUUAAAUUAUUUAGGGGUCCAUAACCGCAACUUUUGGAAAGAUAGGGGUCCAAAAGUGCAAUUAAGCCAUUUUUAAAAUAGGUUUAAUAUAUCGUUUUGUCCCUUAACUUAUUUUUAGUUUUCCACUUUGGUCCCCUAACUAUAAAGUGUAUUAAUUUGGUCCCAUAAGUCUUCCUCCGUUUACUAAUGUGGUCCUUUCCAUUAGUUUUUAAUCUUAAAUGUCUAAGGUGAACCAACUUUGUAGGUGGUCUACCAUAGACUUUAUUAAAUUUUUUAAUUUAAACCGUUUGAUCUUUUUUAUUUAAAGUAGAACCUUUGGAUUACUCAUGUCUAUUUUAUCUUACGGUGAGUCAACAACAUCUAACUUUAUAUCCCAUUCUUCAUCUUCUUCCUUCCUCUUAUUCAUCAUUUUCAUCAAGCUUCAUAAAAAAAUCCAGAAAUUCAUCAACAAUAUCAUUAUAUCAUCACUACACCUCCUACCACCAUCAACAAUAGCAACUGAAUUAACGAUCAUAAAUUCAUCAACCAUUAACAACAUAAACUUUAAUUCCUUAUACAAAAAAUCAACUCAUAUCAGCAACAACACUCUCCCAUAAAUUCAUCAACGAUCUCACAAUGUGGUUGGGUCAUUCCAAAGCAUGUUAAUCAAUGUGUUCACUAUAAUAGACUAAAGCACAUCACAUGAGCUUGGAGUUUUCUUGUUGCUAAUAUGAUGGAAAACCUCACUUUCAGUCACUUUUAUGUGUUUAUGUACACUGCUUACUCAAUGACACACGCAUGUUAUACGUUCCUAAUUGUCACUUCUCUUUCAGUCUCAACAACAACAACAAAAUUCAAAUUAAUAAACAAACCCAUAAAUAAUUCAGCAACAUUCAAAUUCAUAAACAAACUCAAUAAUCUAUUUAUUGUCACUGUAACAGAGCGAUGAAUUUUCCCUCAAAAUUAGAUUCGAUAAUUUCAGAUCAAGCAUUACCGAAUUAUAUACAUCACAACUUCUAAUCCUUGUGAAUUAAACCACAACAAGUAGAAAGGAAAAGAAAGAUAUUUCAUUUCGCCACUGUUUGAGGUAAAUGACUCUAACCCACAGAUCCUUUUGCUAAACGUGUUCCAUUUUUUCAAUUCUCUUCAAUCCCAUUACUGGGUUUUUUUUUUUUUUGGAAUUUCAGAUCUGAGGGUACUGGUCAUAUGUUUCUGUUGAGAUGAUGAUGAUAGUUUUGUUAUUGAUUGUUGUUGAUGAUUUCUGGAAUUUUUCUAGGUUUUGUAUAAAGAUUGAUGAAGCUGAUGUUGAAGAUGAUGAAAAAGAUGAAUGAAGAAGAUGAUGAGGAAGAAGAAGAGAGAAGAUGAUGAAAAGUGAAAAAAAAAAUUAGACGAUGACGGUUCACUAUUAAAUACAAUGAACGUGCGAUCAAAUGGUUAAAGUCAUAUCAAAAAAUUUAGACAUUAAAAAACUAACGGAGAUGACUACAUUAGUAAUCGGAGGAAGACUUAUGAGACCAAAUUGAGACACUUUAUAGUUAGGGGACCAAAAUGAAAACAUAAAAUAAGUUAAGGGACCAGAUGAUGUAUUAAACCUUUAAAAUAAUAUAAAUCAAUCACUCAUCUUUAAUUUCUUUUUUUUUUACAAAAAUAUUUGUUAUUCUUACAAACUUUAAUUUAUAAAAAUUGCCUCAUUUGUAACACUAAAUAUUAUCUUCAUAAUUUACAAAAUAAAAAAUAAAACCCACUAAGCACACAUGUCAUACUUUAACUUAUAUUUUUAAUCAGAAUGCUAUAAAAAUGCGUUGGAGAAAUUGUAGUUAAGUGCAUAUAAACUUGCUGCAAGUUCUUUCCAUUGAGAAAGAAAAUUUGUUACCUUAUACUACUUUUUACAAUAAGGCCCUUCAGUGGAAGGGGAAGAAAAAGAUAGACCCAAAAAAAGGAAUGUAACUAUAAUUGACUAAUAAUUGGGUUAAUCAAGUGGGACUCCACAACAUGAUUUUUGAGAGUGAUUCAUCAGUCCUAAUAGAGAAAAUCAUUUUUCAUUGGAUUGAAUAUCUGAAUUUGAUGUUUUAAUUUCACAAAUUAAGAGCUUUAUCAAAAGAAGGGUUCCCUAAUAUUUAAAACAAUGAACUCGAGUAAAGAUGCUUAUUAUGAAUGGAUCAUCGUCCUCUUGCGAUAUUUUUAUGAUUGGGAAAUUUUCUUUCUUGCAUUGUGUGUAAAGAUGCUUAUUAUAAAGAUUUGAUAUCUACAUGUUAGAUUUUGAUGCAAGAAAAUGGUCUCUUUAUCAUGAGAUCUGACCUUUUGGUUAUGUGGCUGUUUGCGGUCGUGGGCUUAGUAUUUUUUGUGUGGCAUUUCGUUUGUGGAUCAACGAUCAAAUCAUCUUUCAAAUAGUUUUAGGCCCAUUGCUAAGAGAGAAGAAUUACGAAGGCAAGAAAACCAUGCAUUUUAGUUACAAUGUCAAGACUAGACAACUGACAAAGAUUGAGGGCACUGUUGUGGGUGAUAUUGAAGUAUGGCUUCACACCAACAGUCUAGUUUUAUUAAGAAGGACAGGAACAAUCAUUUGUUUAAAAAUAAAGGAAAUGGUCAUAUGUAAGAUUGAGUAAAAACUAAAUUAUGGAUAGUACUUGGAUAUUUAUUUUGUGAUAGUGCUUUGAUAAGCAUACGAGGAAGGGAAAUAGAAAUAGUGAAAUGUAAGAUUCUUGUUACUUAAUGAUGAUAAAUAAGUUAAAUUGGAACUCUGUGAUCAAUUGAAUGCUCUUCUGCUUCACUGUGUAGAUGUGUCCCUAGCUUUCUUAUUGAUUGCAAUGCCAAGUUUAAAAAAAUAAAAAUAAAAAACCACAUUUUCAUAUUUCACCUGCAUUGAAAGUUGAAACACUGCACCAAAUAUGACCAAGAGUUCUCUAAUACUUGUUUAGUCAAUUUGAAGUUCAAAAGUUAUAAACUCAAAUCACCUUUAGUUCAGACUUCAAAAAGUAAAAUGGGGGUUUUACGAAUACUUAACACCCAAUGUAUUUCUUGCUUGAUUAUGAUAUGAUAUAUCCUUCCCACAACCAAAAAAUGAUAUCCUUCCUAAUAAGUAGAAGUCAAAGUAUAUUAAUCUAGUUAAAAGUCCAAGUAUAAUUUAAUGCUAACAACACAAUAUGCAUUGUCAAAGUCCAAAUUUUUCCAUUCCGGUGGCAAUAUGAUCUUCUAUAUCAAUAUCCAUACAAUUUUUUUUUUCUUUUCUGAGGGCAUUUAACAGAAUGUAUGAGACAAGGUUGAAUAUUUCCAUAGGAAAUUUUUUGAAAUUUGAAUAUUUUCAUAUUUGGAAGAGAAUAUUAAACAGGAAAAUGAUGCCAAAUGAAAAGAAAUCCCUAGCAAGGGAAAAUAGUAAAAGAAGAGAGACGGAGAUGGCAAUGUUGUGAGAAAGGAAUUCAUGAUCAUAAUACUUUAAGACAAAUGCAAACAUGUGCCCCAAGUGAUUCUCACACGCACACGACAUUGCCUGAUCAAAUUGUCCCUCGUUGGAAGUCUAUCAAGGAGAAUUUUCCAAGAUAAAGCUAAUCACUUUAGAGGGAGUCGGACUCCUCCAAAGAUAUCGUCUAUCAUUCAUUAGGAAAUGUUGGAAUUAAUAAUAAAUAGAGAAUCUUACAAGUGUUGAACAAGCAGUAGGAAAAUAUUAAUGCAACUGAAAUUUAUUAUUGUUAUGCGAGGAAAAACAACAAACAGUUGAGCUGCACUAAUCGCAGCAGCAUAUCACCUUGAGCUUAUCAGCGACAGAUUCAUCAACCGAAUACUGCAGUAGCGAUAUGAGUAAUCAUCAAUUAAGAUCCAUCAUCAGAACUGAAUGAGUAAAGAAAAAAGGACGAACCUUAUGAAGAACCCAUAGAGAAUGAGUGUAGGUACGUUGAAAGAGAUCAUGGAGAGUAGUGGAAUCAGAAGGAUCGACCUCACGGUAAUUAACGAAGUUCUCGCGAGCGUACUUAGCAUAAUAACCUCUUGAAUCCUUUGGUAAACGCCGCACAAGUCUCAGAACUUCUGCGUAUGCUCUCACCGCUUUCUCCAUCUAAUCUAAUCUAUCUAACUCUUCUCCUUUUCAAACUUCCUUCCUUCCUUCCAAGCGCUUUGUGGAACUUAACUAGUCAACCUCAUUAAUUACUUUUUCGUAUAUAGUUUAGAGAUCUUUUUAGUUGAUUUAAAUAGUUUAUGGAUCAAAAUGAUGAAAAAUGGACGGUUUACGGAUUAAUUUGACUAUUUAUUCUUUAAACAUAUAUCAAAAUACUUAUGUAAAAGAUGAUCAUUCCGGUACUCAUGGAUUUUGAUUGAGUAUGUAUCCCUCAUCCAAUCUGUUUUGAACGGGUCAGAAAAUCAAUCCCAUUGUGACUUGUGGACUAGACGUUCACCGGACUAAGACGCGCCGUCCGAAGGAACAUAUCAGUACCAGUACGUCUUACCCCAAUGGAACACGCCUCUGUGAAUCAAAUAUCGUGCAUGUGUCCUCCAACCGUCUCAUAAUCACACGUCACGGAGGCGGUUAUUCUCACACACGGCUAUAUAAGGGUGAGAUAGCUUCUCCCCUAAAGUAUGAUUCAUUUUUCCUACACUUUUUAUAUACACUCUUUCUCAGUUUCAAUGGUAACUUGAGCGUUUGAGUGCUAACGUGCCUGCAGACACUCUUCAUCCCACCACGAAGACUCAUCGCCACCAUACCGGAGCAUCUUCCGCCACCGUUACUUCCAUCAGUUCUUCACCGAACAUAUCACAAUCAAUCAAUGAUUUGUCACAUUUUUAUAUUAAUUAUUUUUGGUACAUCAUUUUAUAUCAAUUUGUUUAAAUCAAUUCAAAUGUUAAAUAAAUUUUACUUACGAGAAGUAUCGAUGUUCAACCAAAAUCUAAAGUAUUUAGAAGUUUAUAUUAAUAAAGAGCAAUGAUAUAUCUCUAGAAAAAUAACAUCAAGAAUUUUUCAAGAAUAAAGAACAAUCAAUCACAAUGCACUAUUUACCACAAUUCAAGGAGGUGUGACUGAAAAGUAGAAAGUGAACAAAUAUAUCAUGCAAUUAAAACUUGUAAGUUGUGUCUUGAAAAAAUUUUAAUGUUAUUUUUCUAGAAAAAUAGCAUUUUCCAUUAAUAAAUUCAGUUUAAAAUUUUUAUUGGAGUAACUUGCUAAUAGUGCACAAUUAGGAUUUAGAUUAGGUACAAUUAGGAUUGUUCAAAAAAGGGAAGAAAAAAAACAAAACCGUUAUUGAUUCCUUUCGGAGUACCUAACAAUAACGGCUAGCACUUUGGUGACAUUGGUCAUCACAAUAUUUGUGUUUUUCUCUCUUUUACAAGCAUUUUGACAUUGUGAUUGACAAAUCUCAUCAAUAUUACCCAACUUUAUGUCAUCCAAAUGUUAUCCAAGAAUAACAUGUGGUCCACUAGUGACUUUAGUUUUAAUCCUUUAUUUUGUUCUUUUUUAAGAAUAUAAUUUUUUUUUGGAGGAAGUGUAUGAAAACAUGACAAGGAUCUCACUUUAUAAAGUUGAUGGAAACUAAAUCUAAUGGUUCCUGUUGUAGAGUCUCCCUACGUUACAGAACUACGUAAAUGUAAAUAGAAAUAGAAACAUUAUAUUUGAAGGAGAAAUUACUGUGUAGGAACGAACCUAACAUAUCAUUCUUAUAAACAAUAAAUUAAAACAUGACACGUUAUUGUUUUAUUUUAAAAUAAUUAGGAAAUAAUUUAAGAAAUGAAAACUAACUGCUCCUCCUCUCUCUCAACCAUUAUUUGCGGUUGGUAUUCACCACCACCAACUGCUCCUCCUCUCUCUCAACCAUUAUUUGCGGUUGGUAUUCACCACCACCAAUCAUGGUUAAAAGAAAGAAAAAAAAAACGACGUGUCAUGUUUUAAUGUUUUAAUUUGUUGUUUGUAAGAAUGAUAGUUAUGUUCGUUUCUACACAAAAAUUUACAGAAAAAUGUAAUCAAUAAAAUAUUCAAAGAAAGCAACGAAUGAUGGAUAAACUAUAAUAGUAAUAGUGAGAUACAAAAUAAGUGUCCUCAAUUAAUACAAAACCUCCCCUGAAAUGAAUGUCUCAAGAAUGCAAACAAUGUAUGUAGUAAUAAACUCCCAUAUCACAUCGAGAAAAUAAUAAUAUAUAGAGGUAAAAAUAACAAUCUGAGUUCUGAAGAGAAGACAGAGGUAUCGAUCUAGAACAGCAAGGACAGGAAAGCACAUCCAAAUACUAAUCCAACCAUCUUAUGUGACCACAACUUCUCUGCCCCACUCUGCAAUGCAAUAUACCCACAAAAUUAAUUAGGCUAACAAUUUACUAUGUUUGCAUCAAAACGAUGUGCACACACAAAAUUUGGCUAGAAAAUAGUGGAAUGAUAGAUAAAGUAGAAGAAAAGGAAGCUUAGUUUAUACAUAAACAUGUUUUUUAAUUAGGAAAUUUACGAACCGAAAUAUUUGAUCUCGAAAUAAAGCUUUGAUAUGAGUCAAACUAAAGGGUUGUGUAUGAUAUGGGGAUCAACCUUAUUAGUAUUGAAAAUACCAAGACCUUUACAAAGAGAUGCACGCAUCGCAUCAUGUUAUAUACCGAUUUAUAAAUAAUGAGUUAGAUCUAAUAUAAAAAAUAUUAAUAUGACAUGGUAAACGUUGAUUUUGUAAGGAUAUGUUAAGUCCAAUAUUAAAAGCUAAUAAUAAAUAGUGAUCAAGUAGAGAGAAGUGAACUUACAUCAUCGGUACCGGAGGGAGAGAUAGAGGGGGAGAGAGAAGAGAGUCCGGGAGCGGGAGCAUCUGAUGGCGAGAGCACAGGUGCCAAUGCAGGGGCUUUACUCUUAAGCUUGGCAGGAGCGGGAGCUGGAGUAGUUGCUGGAGGAGAUGAGAGUGGAGUAGGUGUGAGUGCUGGAGGAGGAGUUGCUGGAGGUGGAGUUGCGGGAGGUGGAGUAGCAGGGGGAGGAGAGAAUGGUGGAGGUGAGGCAGGGGGUGGUGAUGCAGGUGGUGGAGUAGACUGAACAGGUGGAGGAGUGAGUGGGGUUGGAGGAGGAGAUUGCUGAACAGGUGGAGGAGAAGACUGAACGGGAGGGGGAGUGGACUGAGCUGGUGGAGGGGAUGACUGAAGAGGAGGUGGAGAAGACUGGACGGGUGGAGGAGAAGAUUGAACAGGUGGAGGGGAGGCUUGAGGAGUGGUUGGGGGUGUAUUAGCAGGAGGAGUGGGUGGUGCUGGAGAUGAGUUUGGGGAGGUGGAUGGAGCUUGUUGGGCUCCUACGCUGGAAAACACAACGCAGAUCAAACCAAUUACAACCAAAACUAUAUGAUGUGUGCCCAUCUUAAUUGUAUUGAUUUAAAAUGUAUAUGAUGAUAUUACUCUUUG
rnacentral:lncRNA from 1 species